GGCGGCGNGUUCAUNCAUGAGAGAAAAAAGAAGUNNUCUUGAAUGAAGUUUUCGGAUGGAAUGAUUUAUCAUCUUAGCGGCGGAAAGGUGAGUAACGCGUGAGAAACCUGCCUUUCACAAAGGGAUAGCCUCGGAAAACUGGGAUUAAUACCUUAUGAUACUGAUUUACUGCAUGGUAGAUUAGUCAAAGCGUAAAGCGGUGAAAGAUGGUCUCGCGUCCCAUUAGUUAGUUGGUGAGGUAACGGCUCACCAAGACCGCGAUGGGUAGCCGGCCUGAGAGGGUGAACGGCCACAUUGGGACUGAGACACGGCCCAGACUC
rnacentral:sRNA from 1 species